rnacentral:rRNA from 1 species
GCACAACGCGAAGAACCUUACCAGGACUCGUAUGCCCCUCAACGGCCCCCCAAAAGGGGUCUUCACUUCGGGUGGAGGGAGCACAGGUGCUGCAUGGCUGUCGUCAGCUCGUGUCGUGAGAUGUUGGGUUAAGUCCCGCAACGAGCGCAACCCUCAUCCUCUGUUGCUAACAGGUAAUGCUGAGAACUCUGAGGAAACUGCCGGUGAUAAGCCGGAGGAAGGUGGGGAUGACGUCAAGUCCUCAUGGCCCUUACGUCCUGGGCUACACACGUGUUACAAUGGCGGUGACAAUGGGCAGCGAAAUCGCGAGAUGGAGCGAAUCCCCAAAAGCCGUCUCAGUUUGGAUUGUACUCUGCAACUCGAGUACAUGAAAUUGGAAUCGCUAGUAAUCGUAGAUCAGCACGCUACGGUGAAUACGUUCCCGGGUCUUGUACACACCG